rnacentral:lncRNA from 1 species
UCAGUUAGUGUGUAUUUUAGACCCUAGAAUAUACACGAGAAUUUUAUCUUUGGAUUUCACAUAACAGAAGUUGUGACCAAUGAUAUGAGAAAGCUAGAUCAAACAAUCAUAUCCUAUCUCCUCACCCCACAAAACAAAUACAGGAGAAGUAAAAAUAUGAUGCAAAAAUUAAAAAUAGAACUUAGAAAACCACUGAAAUUGUAGUAAAAUCAAAGAAGAAUCAAAUCAGCUUAAAAUAAAUAAAGGAACGCGGUUGAUAACUUGAUAAGAAACAAAGUUGUAAGCAAUAGAGUUGUGGCCGUCGAGGCAAACUCAAUUGUAGGUUUAUUGUUAUUCUUUUUAUAGAUAUAUGUGAUUUUCGAAACUUAGAAUUUUAUAUGAAU